rnacentral:rRNA from 1 species
UACGGGGGGUGCGAGCGUUGUCCGGAAUCACUAGGCGUAAAGGGCGCGUAGGUGGCGUGAUAAGGGUGUGGUGAAAGCCCGGGGCUCAACCCCGGGUCUGCCAUGCCGACUGUCAGGCUAGAGUACUGUAGGGGCAGGCGGAAUUCCGGGUGUAGCGGUGGAAUGCGUAGAGAUCCGGAGGAAGACCGGUGGCGAAGGCGGCCUGCUGGGCAGUUACUGACACUGAGGCGCGACAGCGUGGGGAGCAAACAGG